GAGUUUGAUCUUGGCUCAGAUUGAACGCUGGCGGCAUGCUUUACACAUGCAAGUCGAGCGGCGGCGCGGGGGCAACCCUGGCGGCGAGCGGCGGACGGGUGAGUAAUGCAUCGGAACGUAUCCCGUAGUGGGGGACAACGCCGGGAAACCGGCGCUAAUACCGCAUAUGCUCUACGGAGGAAAGUGGGGGACCAGUAAUGGCCUCACGCUAUGGGAGCGGCCGAUGUCCGAUUAGCUAGUUGGUGGGGUAAAGGCUUACCAAGGCGACGAUCGGUAGCUGGUCUGAGAGGAUGAUCAGCCACACUGGGACUGAGACACGGCCCAGACUCCUACGGGAGGCAGCAGUGGGGAAUUUUGGACAAUGGGGGAAACCCUGAUCCAGCCAUGCCGCGUGUGUGAAGAAGGCCUUCGGUUGUAAG
rnacentral:rRNA from 1 species